UUUUCACACUGUCAAGAAAAGCUUCUAUCGAGUUUAAAGGCGCCCGUACCGUAAACCGACACAGGUGGGUGAGGAGAGUAUCCUAAGGCCAGCGAGAGAACUAUUGUUAAGGAACUCGGCAAAAUGACCCCGUAACUUAGGGAGAAGGGGUGCCUGUCUAUGACAGGCCGCAGAGAAUAGGCCCAAGCGACUGUUUACCAAAAACACAGGUUUCUGCUAAGUCGCAAGACGAUGUAUAGGAGCUGACGCCUGCCCGGUGCUGGAAGGUUAAGGGGAUCUGUUAGAGCAAUCGAAGCAGUGAACUUAAGCCCCAGUAAACGGCGGCCGUAACUAUAACGGUCCUAAGGUAGCGAAAUUCCUUGUCGGGUAAGUUCCGACCCGCACGAAAGGCGUAACGAUUUGGGCACUGUCUCAACAAUAGACUCGGUGAAAUUGUAAUCCCGGUGAAGAUGCCGGGUACCUGCGACAGGACGGAAAGACCCCAUGGAGCUUUACUGUAGCUUGACGUUGGGUCUUGGUACUACAUGUACAGGAUAGGUGGGAGACUAUGAAGCAUGGACGCCAGUCUGUGUGGAGUCAUCCUUGGGAUACCACCCUUGUAGUACUGGGAUCCUAACCAUAGGCCUUGAAUCAGGUCUUGGAACACCGUCAGGUGGGCAGUUUGACUGGGGCGGUCGCCUCCUAAAAAGUAACGGAGGCGCUCAAAGGUUUCCUCAGCACGGUCGGAAAUCGUGCGAAGAGUGUAAAGGCAAAAGGAAGCUUGAUUGCAAGACAUACAGGUCGAGCAAGGACGAAAGUCGGACUUAGUGAUCCGGUGGUACCGCAUGGAAGGGCCAUCGCUCAACGGAUAAAAGCUACCCUGGGGAUAACAGGCUUAUCUCCCCCAGGAGUCCACAUCGACGGGGAGGUUUGGCACCUCGAUGUCGGCUCAUCACAUCCUGGGGCUGUAGUAGGUCCCAAGGGUUGGGCUGUUCGCCCAUUAAAGUGGUACGCGAGCUGGGUUCAGAACGUCGUGAGACAGUUCGGUCCCUAUCCGUCGCAGGCGUAGGAAAUUUGAGAAGACCUGUCCUUAGUACGAGAGGACCGGGAUGGACGUACCUCUGGUGUACCAGUUGUUCUGCCAAGGGCAUGGCUGGGUAGCUAUGUACGGAAUGGAUAAGCGCUGAAAGCAUCUAAGCGCGAAGCCAACUUCAAGAUAAGAUUUCCCACCGUAAGGGUAAGACCCCAGGAAGACUACCUGGUUGAUAGGUCGAAGGUGUAAGUGCAGUAAUGUAUUUAGCUUAUCGAUACUAAUAGGUCGAGGACUUGACC
rnacentral:rRNA from 1 species